rnacentral:lncRNA from 1 species
CUCCUCUGCAUAAUCCAAGUGGGGAUUUCACAAAGUGAAGAACAUUGGCCGCGAAGCGUGAAGUCCUGGCUUCUAGCCCUUGCCCUAUACCCCUAACCCUAACACCUUUGGAGCUAAUCUCAGCCCUGCUGGACUGAAAUGCUCCAGGGCUUGGGCUAGUUCCUUCCAGGGUUUCAAAUCCCUGAGCCUCUGCUCGGGCCUUGGAAUGUGGCCCGGAAACCUAUCCAGGUGCGCAGUGGCCACAGGGACCUGGAGCAGGGAGAGCCAGGGGGUGGGAAGCUGGGUGCAGGCUGGGGUGAUGUGCUAAGCUGCGUCCCACUUGCUGACAUUUGCUUUAUUGCAUUAAAGUCUUUCUCUGAAGGGUGAGUAAGUCCUCUAAAUCAGGCGUAUGAGGAUUGCUCAUAAGCCCGUGAGUCACUGAAGGGUAAGCCAAGUGAAGCCCCACAGCUGGGGAUGGCUUUUGACUCUCACUCCCUUAAUAAUCUCAUUAAUUACACCUCCAUCUGUGUCAAGACCAACUUCACACUGGCUUCCAGUACCAGGUGGGGAAUUGAAGCUGGUGCCGUCUGGCUCCUUCAUCCCCAGAUUUUGACGAAACACUUUUGGGUUAGUCUCUAGGAACAGUUCUGGGAGAAUAGAGAUAGUAGCUCUCCCCCGAUUGUUUCCCAGUUGGGUCUGUGGGUGAGCACCUUGAGGUCCAUUCUUGCUCCUGAGCCGGGCCUGAUGGGGCAGGAAAUGUACGAGCAGCCCCACGCCAGCGUGCUAGCAGAAGCCCUGUGUACCUGCUGGUCUCCUUUGUGUGAGGACCUGGAAAAAUACUGUCUAGGCCUCAAAACCCUAAGCAAUCUCUGGAUUGCUGGUGGUUUAUCUUCUGAACACCAUAAAGCUCAUGCCUGCCCUGUUUCCUUCCUUGCUCAGCCCACUAGGCAGCCCAGAAUGAAAGUUUUCUCCUUCCUUGUGACAAUUAUACGAUUGUCCGCAAUGACGUUAUGGCAUUUGUCUCUGAACUUUCUUUUACUUCUAUUUCCACAGUGACUUACAAAAAAAAAAAAAAAAUACAAAUCAACCCUUGGGUAGUAAAGUUGAGACAUAUCAUACGCAUUUAUGGAAUGAAGUGGUGUAUGAAUACAUGUGGGGAGAAGCCUGUUUAUGUUCAGUGCUGCUACUCUAUCUCCUUCUGGAGGAUUCAUCCACCCAACUAGGUUCCUUUGCCUUCUCAGUAACUGCCAAGGUCUAUUCUUUCUGGAAUAAAUCCUGUACAGACUCCAAGGCCCAUGGCUCGGGCCCUCGGUCCUUGUCUCUCAAUUUCUGGGACUGCCCUCCACUUCAACCUGGCAUUCUGCUGCCAGUAAGCUCUGAUAGGGAGAACCCACGAACAGAUGGACAGAUUGCUCCAAGCCACAACACAGCCUCUCCUGAUCUCUACACACCCGAUGUGAGGGAUGUGAUCUGUGCUUAGAUAACCAGCACUGCUCCAUCCAUUUAGCACUGAGCACCUGCCAGCACCUGGGAUUCAGUAGGGCAGGAUGAGAGCCAAGUGGCCCUACACUUAAGGAUUUCAUAAGUAUUAGUGACUUUCAGCCCCAGACUGGAGCUGGUCUUUGAGGCCCCACACAAUCCCCUUCCCCACUCCCUUCUCCUAGACUCCAGCUUCAACCUCUCCCCUCUGGCUCCAGCAUACUUCAUGCAAGCUCCCUGCACAUAGCAGCCUGUACACGUGGCCAUGUUCACCUGUGCAAAGAGCUGAGCUCUGGUGUGGUGCAUCCCGAAGUUUCUCUUGUAUUGUUUCCUAACUUGUUUUGAAUGCUGUAUUAGCCUUGGCCCCCACCCCCACCUCCAGGUGGCUCAGUGGUUUAGCGCCACCUUCGGCCCAGGGCGUGAUCCUGGAGACCUAGGAUGGAGUCCCACGUCCAGCUCCCUGCAAGGAGCCUGCUUCUUCCUCUGCCUGUGUCUCUGCCUCCCUCUCUCUCUCUCUCUCUCUGUGUGUGUGUGUGUGUGUUUGUGUGCUUCUCAUUAAUAAAUAAAUAAAAUCUUUUU